AUGAUGUUUGUAUCACUGUGGGAAACGUUCGGUGGAGGAACCAGACUGGAUGUUGGAAGUGAUGUCCGUCCCACCCUGACGGUGCUGCCCCCCUCCAGUGAGGAGCUGCAGCAGGGGAAGGCCACGCUCAUGUGCCUGGCCAACAAGGGCUUCCCCUCAGACUGGAGUCUGGCCUGGAAGGUGGACGGCAGCAGCAGCAGCAGCAGCUGGGAGGAGAGCAGGAGCCCCGGGGUGCUGGAGAAGGACGGCCGCUACAGCUGGAGCAGCACCCUGAGGCUCCCUGCAGACCAGUGGAGGAAGGUGGGCUCUGUGACCUGUGAGGCCACCCAGGGCUCCCAGGCUCUGGUCUCAGAGACACUGAGGAGAGACCAGUGUUCCCAGUCCUGACCUGACUCACUGGGACUCUGCUACUGGUUUUACUCUGCUCUCUGAACUCUGUAACUCUCUCUGUGUCUGUGUCUCUUUCUUUCCUUAAGUCAUUCUCUAAUCACAUGUUUCAUGGUUAAAGUUUGU